rnacentral:rRNA from 1 species
AGUCGAUGGGAAACGGGUUAAUAUUCCCGUACUUGGUGUUACUGCGAAGGGGGGACGGAGAAGGCUAUGUUGGCCGGGCGACGGUUGUCCCGGUUUAAGCGUGUAGGUAUGUGUUCCAGGUAAAUCCGGUUCACUUUAACACUGAGGCGUGACGACGAGGCACUACGGUGCUGAAGCAACAAAUGCCCUGCUUCCAGGAAAAGCCUCUAAGCAUCAGGUAACAUCAAAUCGUACCCCAAACCGACACAGGUGGUCAGGUAGAGAAUACCAAGGCGCUUGAGAGAACUCGGGUGAAGGAACUAGGCAAAAUGGUGCCGUAACUUCGGGAGAAGGCACGCUGACACGUAGGUGAAGUGAUUUACUCACGGAGCUGAAGUCAGCCGAAGAUACCAGCUGGCUGCAACUGUUUAUUAAAAACACAGCACUGUGCAAACACGAAAGUGGACGUAUACGGUGUGACGCCUGCCCGGUGCCGGAAGGUUAAUUGAUGGGGUCAGCGCAAGCGAAGCUCCUGAUCGAAGCCCCGGUAAACGGCGGCCGUAACUAUAACGGUCCUAAGGUAGCGAAAUUCCUUGUCGGGUAAGUUCCGACCUGCACGAAUGGCGUAAUGAUGGCCAGGCUGUCUCCACCCGAGACUCAGUGAAAUUGAACUCGCUGUGAAGAUGCAGUGUACCCGCGGCAAGACGGAAAGACCCCGUGAACCUUUACUAUAGCUUGACACUGAACAUUGAGCCUUGAUGUGUAGGAUAGGUGGGAGGCUUUGAAGUGUGGACGCCAGUCUGCAUGGAGCCGACCUUGAAAUACCACCCUUUAAUGUUUGAUGUUCUAACGUGGACCCGUGAUCCGGGUUGCGGACAGUGUCUGGUGGGUAGUUUGACUGGGGCGGUCUCCUCCUAAAGAGUAACGGAGGAGCACGAAGGUUGGCUAAUCCUGGUCGGACAUCAGGAGGUUAGUGCAAUGGCAUAAGCCAGCUUGACUGCGAGCGUGACGGCGCGAGCAGGUGCGAAAGCAGGUCAUAGUGAUCCGGUGGUUCUGAAUGGAAGGGCCAUCGCUCAACGGAUAAAAGGUACUCCGGGGAUAACAGGCUGAUACCGCCCAAGAGUUCAUAUCGACGGCGGUGUUUGGCACCUCGAUGUCGGCUCAUCACAUCCUGGGGCUGAAGUAGGUCCCAAGGGUAUGGCUGUUCGCCAUUUAAAGUGGUACGCGAGCUGGGUUUAGAACGUCGUGAGACAGUUCGGUCCCUAUCUGCCGUGGGCGCUGGAGAACUGAGGGGGGCUGCUCCUAGUACGAGAGGACCGGAGUGGACGCAUCACUGGUGUUCGGGUUGUCAUGCCAAUGGCACUGCCCGGUAGCUAAAUGCGGAAGAGAUAAGUGCUGAAAGCAUCUAAGCACGAAACUUGCCCCGAGAUGAGUUCUCCCUGAGACUUUAGGUCUCCUGAAGGAACGUUGAAGACGACGACGUUGAUAGGCCGGGUGUGUAAGCGCAGCGAUGCGUUGAGCUAACCGGUACUAAUGAACCGUGAGGCUUAACCUUACAACGCCGAAG